UUUUUAUACGACCGCAAAAAAAUUUUUGUGGUCGUAUAUUGGUAUGACGUUGGCGUCGUCGUCGUCCGAAGACGCAUUAGUUUUCGCACUCUAACUUUAGUUUAAGUGAAUGGAUCUCUAUGAAAUUUUACCAUAAGGUUCAAUACCACAAAAGGAAGGUGGGGAUUGAUUUUGGGGGUUAUGGUACCAACAGUUAAGGAAUUAGGGGCCAAAAAGGGGCCAAAAAUAAGCAUUUUCUAGUUUCCAGACAAUAACUGUGGAACGGUGUAUGGAUCUCUCUGAAAUUAUACUACAAGUUUCCAUACCACAAAGGGAUGGUUAGGAUUUGCUUUGGGGGGUUAUUGCUCAAACCGUUUAAGAAUUAGGGGCAAAAAAGGGUGAAAAACAAGGUUGUCCUCAUUAAUGGACAAAUACUAUAGUACAAAACAUAAUUUAAAGCAGUGUAAGGGAGAUAAAUCAAAUACAUCAUUGAAAUUAUCUCCCUUACACUGCUUUUAAAUUAUGUAUAAAGUAAUGGUUAAUGAACAAUUAAGAUAAUUUCAAACAGUGUAAGGGAGUUAAUCAAAAUACAACGUUUUGGUUACUUCCCUUACACUGCUUUUAAAUUAUGUUUAAAGAAAUGCAUAUUUAUAAAGGAAGACCAGUAUGGCGCAUUAGAUUUGUAAAAUCUUUGACCACAUUUAUUUAUUUGUUAUGCCGAAUCUAACCGUGUAUUUAGAUUUUUAAUUUUGGGUCCAGUUUUCAAAUUGGUCUUUAUUAAGGUCCAAAGGGUCCAAAAUUAAACUUUGUUUGAUUUUAACAAAAAUUGAAUAUAUGGGGUUCUUUGAUAUGCUGAAUCUAAACAUGUAUUUAGAUUUUUGAUUUUUGGCCCAGUUUUCAAGUUGGUCCAACUUGGGGUCCAAAAUUAAACUUUGUUUGAUUUCAACAAAAAUUGAAUAUAUGGGGUUCUUUGGUAUGCUGAAUCUAACCAUGUAUUUAGAUUUUUUAUUUGUGGACCCCGUUAUCAAAUUGGUUCAUAUUGAGGUCAAAAGGGUCCAAAAUUAAACUUUGUUUGAUUUCAUCAAAAAUUGAAUUAUUGGGGUUCUUUGAUAUGCCAAAUCUAACCGUGUAUUUAGAUUUUUAAUUUUGGGUCCCGUUUUUUAAAUUGGUCUACAUUAAGGUCAAAAGGGUCCAAAAUUAAACUUAGUUUGAUUUUAACAAAAAUUGAAUUCUUGGGGUUCUUUGAUAUGCUGAAUCUAAACAUGUGUUUAGAUUUUUGAUUAUGGGCCCAGUUUUCAAGUUGGUCCAAGUGGGGUCCAAAAUUAAACUUUGUUUGAUUUCAACAAAAAUUGAAUAUAUGGGGUUCUUUGAUAUGCUGAAUCUAAACAUGUAUUUAGAUUUUAGAUUUUUGGCCCAGUUUUCAAGUUGGUCCAAAUUGGGGUCCAAAAUUAAAUUUUGUUUGAUUUCAACAAAAAUUGAAUAUAUGGGGUUCUUUGAUAUGCUGAAUCUUACCAUGUAUUUAGAUUUUUUAUUUGUGGGCCCGCUAUCAAAUUGGUUCAUAUUGAGGUCAAAAGGGUCCAAAAUUAAACUUUGUUUGAUUUCAUCAAAAAUUGAAUUAUUGGGGUUCUUUGAUAUGCCAAAUCUAACCGUGUAUUUAGAUUUUUAAUUUUGGGUCCCGUUUUUUUAAUUGGUCUACAUUAAGGUCCAAAGGGUCCAAAAUUAAACUUAGUUUGAUUUUAACAAAAAUUGAAUUCUUGGGGUUCUUUGAUAUGCUGAAUCUAAACAUGUGUUUAGAUUUUUGAUUAUGGGCCCAGUUUUCAAGUUGGUCCAAGUGGGGUCCAAAAUAAAACUUUGUUUGAUUUCAACAAAAAUUGAAUGUAUGGGGUUCUUUGAUAUGCUGAAUCUAAACAUGUAUUUAGAUUUUAGAUUUUUGGCCCAGUUUUCAAGUUGGUCCAAAGUGGGGUCCAAAAUUAAAUUUUGUUUGAUUUCAACAAAAAUCGAAUAUAUGGGGUUCUUUGAUAUGCUGAAUCUUACCAUGUAUUUAGAUUUUUUAUUUGUGGACCCCGUUAUCAAAUUGGUUCAUAUUGAGGUCAAAAGGGUCCAAAAUUAAACUUUGUUUGAUUUCAUCAAAAAUUGAAUUAUUGGGGUUCUUUGAUAUGCCAAAUCUAACCGUGUAUUUAGAUUUUUAAUUUUGGGUCCCGUUUUUUAAAUUGGUCUACAUUAAGGUCCAAAGGGUCCAAAAUUAAACUUAGUUUGAUUUUAACAAAAAUUGAAUUCUUGGGGUUCUUUGAUUUGCUGAAUCUAAACAUGUGUUUAGAUUUUUGAUUAUGGGCCCAGUUUUCAAGUUGGUCCAAGAUAGGGUCCAGUAUUUAAACUUUGUUUGAUUUCAACAAAAAUUGAAUAUAUGGGGUUCUUUGAUAUGCUGAAUCUAAACAUGUAUGUAGAUUUUUGAUUAUGGGCCCAGUUUUCAAGUUGGUCCAAAUUGGGGUCCAAAAUUAAACUUUGUUUGAUUUCAACAAAAAUUGAAUAUAUGAGGUUCUUUUAUAUGCUGAAUCUAACCAUGUAUUUAGAUUUUUUAUUUGUAGGCCCCGCUAUCAAAUUGGUUCAUAUUGAGGUCAAAAGGGUCCAAAAUUAAACUUUGUUUGAUUUCAUCGAAAAUUGAAUUAUUGGGGUUCUUUGAUAUGCCAAAUCUAACCAUGUUUUUAGAUUUUUAAUUUGGGUCCCGUUUUUUAAAUUGGUCGUCAUUGAGGUCCAAAGGGUCCAAAAUUAAACUUAGUUUGAUUUUAUCAAAAAUUGAAUUCUUGGGGUUCUUUGAUAUGCUGAAUCUAAACAUGUGUUUAGAUUUUUGAUUAUGGGCCCAGUUUUCAAGUUGGUCCAAGUUGGAGUCCAAAAUUAAACUUUUUUUGAUUUCAACAAAAAUUGAAUAUAUGGGGUUCUUUGAUAUGCUGAAUCUAACCAUGAAUUUAGAUUUUUUAUUUGUGGGCCCCGCUAUCAAAUUGGUUCAUAUUGAGGUCAAAAGGGUCCAAAAUUAAACUUUGUUUGAUUUCAUCAAAAAUUGAAUUAUUGGGGUUCUUUGAUAUUCCAAAUCUAACCGUGUAUUUAGAUUUUUAAUUUUAAGUCCCGUUUUUUAAAUUGGUCUACAUUAAGGUCCAAAGGGUCCAAAAUUAAACUUAGUUUGAUUUUAGCAAAAAUUGAAUUCUUGGGGUUCUUUGAUAUGCUGAAUCUAAACAUGUGUUUAGAUUUUUGAUUAUGGGCCCAGUUUUCAAGUUUGUCCAAGUUGGGGUCCAAAAUUAAACUUUGUUUGAUUUUAACAAAAAUUGAAUAUAUGGGGUUCUUUGAUAUGCUGAAUCUAACCAUGUAUUUUGAUUUUGGACAUUGGACCAUAAUAGGUAAAUUAAAAAAAUUCAAGUUCUUAGACCACAUUCUUUCUGUGUCAGAAACCUAUGCUGUGUCAAAUAUUUAAUAACAAUCCAAAUUCAGAGCUGUAUCAAGCUUGAAUGUUGUGUCCAUACUUGCCCCAACUGUUCAGGGUUCGACCUCUGCGGUCGUAUCAAGCUGCGCCCCAGCGAAGCAUUUUAUUAGAUUUUUAAUUUUGGGUCCCGUUUUUUUAAAUUGGUCUACAUUAAGGUCCAAAGGGUCCAAAAUUAAACUUAGUUUGAUUUUAACAAAAAUUGAAUUCUUGGGGUUCUUUGAUAUGCUGAAUCUAAACAUGUGUUUAGAUUUUUGAUUAUGGGACCAGUUUUCAAGUUUGUCCAAGUUGGGGUCCAAAAUUAAACUUUGUUUGAUUGCAACAAAAAUUGAAUAUAUGGGGUUCCUUGAUAUGCUGAAUCUAACCAUGUAUUUUGAUUUUGGACAUUUGACCAUAAUAGGUAAAUUAAAAAAAUUGAAGUUCUUAGACCACAUUCUUUCUGUGUCAGAAACCUAUGCUGUGUCAAAUAUUUAAUCACAAUCCAAAUUCAGAGCUGUAUCAAGCUUGAAUGUUGUGUCCAUACUUGCCCCAACUGUUCAGGGUUCGACCUCUGCGGUCGUAUCAAGCUGCGCCCAGCGAAGCAUUUUAUUCC